AAAAAAACCCAACUUACAUAGGGUUUCAAACCUCCAACCCUUAGCAGCAGCCACUUCCUACCCUUUCCCCAACUGCCGCCACACUCUACCAUUUUCCGCCGGAUGCCUGUUUGGAUUAACUAUAGGCAACAACUUGAUGGCACUGUUGAUGAUGAUUUUUAUUUCAUCAUCUACAAUGUCAUGCAUUUGGCCAUUCAUCAGUAAUGUUGAUCUUCUGUCUUCGAGUGUGAUUUCUUUGAUUAAACAGAUUAAUAAGCAUCUAAUUGUGGAAUCUAUUUGUGGAGGUUCGGGACCUAUUGGAGGAGAAGUUUCACUUGUAUAUUGAAAAUGUAUAGAAACCCAGAAACCCACAAGUGCCAUGGGAUGAAAGGUGCAAAAAUGCUGAAAAUCUAGUCAUAAAAACAAAAGAAGAACCAAAAGUUAGUGAUAUUGAAUCUAAUUUAGUUGGAGGCAUUGUUAUUUCCGAACCAAGGAAAAUUGAAAUAGAGGGCAUGUGGAAUGUUACGAAUAACAAUGAUCAAGUUGAAUCUAACUUUCGUCAUAAAGGAAAAGAGGAAAUGAUUCAAACUAAUGAAGAGUCAGAUUCUUCAUUCCUUCAUUCUCUUCUGAAGAUGAGGAGUUAAGAUUAGCAUUACAUAAUUCACCGAUCUUUCAAUAUCCACUACAAUUUUGGAAAAGGCACCUCAGUCUUUUCGAUAUCUACUACAAACAAACUACCAUAUAGUGUGGAAAAUGAAAAUGGUUUGAUAGGAAACUCUAUACAUUUUAAAGCAGCCGAUGAAAUUGAUGGAGAAGAGGUGAAGUUUGAAUAGGAGGAGCACAGGUAAAAGUUGAUUCAAAAAGAAGAAGAAUUCCAAGAUAAGGAAAUAGGGAAAUGAUUGAAAUUAAUAUUCUUGUUGACUGUAUUAUGUGAAAAUUAUAUUUGAAAAAACAAGGUUGAUACUUGUAUGUUUAGUGUUGAAUCUUUAAUUUUACUUUAAGAUGGAAAUGAUAUAAGACAAUGUUUAAGUAACUAGUACAAAAA